rnacentral:rRNA from 1 species
GACGAACGCUUUCUUCUUUCUUAACACAUGCAAGUCGAACGGAAAGGCCCUGCUUUUGUGGGGUGCUCGAGUGGCGAACGGGUGAGUAACACGUGAGUAACCUGCCCUUGACUUUGGGAUAACUUCAGGAAACUGGGGCUAAUACCGGAUAGGAGCUCCUGCUGCAUGGUGGGGGUUGGAAAGUUUCGGCGGUUGGGGAUGGACUCGCGGCUUAUCAGCUUGUUGGUGGGGUAGUGGCUUACCAAGGCUUUGACGGGUAGCCGGCCUGAGAGGGUGACCGGCCACAUUGGGACUGAGAUACGGCCCAGACUCCUACGGGAGGCAGCAGUGGGGAAUAUUGCACAAUGGGCGGAAGCCUGAUGCAGCAACGCCGCGUGCGGGAUGACGGCCUUCGGGUUGUAAACCGCUUUCGCCUGUGACGAAGCGUGAGUGACGGUAAUGGGUAAAGAAGCAAAGGCUAACUACGUG